rnacentral:rRNA from 1 species
AGAGUUUGGUCCUGGCUCAGGAUGAACGCUAGCGGUAGGCUUAACACAUGCAAGUUGAGGGGUAACAGGUGUAGCAAUACAUGCUGACGACCGGCGCUCGGGUGAGUAACGCGUAUGCAACCUACCUUUAACAGGGAGAUAGCUCGGGGAAACUCGGAUUAAUACCCCAUAAAAUUGCGAACAGGCAUCUGAUUGCAAUCAAAGCUCCGGCGGUUAAAGAUGGGCAUGCGUGCCAUUAGCUAGUUGGUGAGGUAACGGCCCACCAAGGCAACGAUGGCUAGGAGGUCUUAAAGGAUGAUCUCCCACACUGGUACUGAGACACGGACCAGACUCCUACGGGAGGCAGCAGUGAGGAAUAUUGGUCAAUGGGCGCAAGCCUGAACCAGCCAAGCCGCGUGAAGGAUGAAGGCUCUAGUAGUCGUAAACUUCUUUUGUAGGGGAAGAAAAAGAGCUGCGUGAUAGUUAUCUGACGGUACUCUACGAAUAAGCAUCGGCUAACUCCGUGCCAGCAGCCGCGGUAAUACGGAGGAUGCAGGCGUUAUCCGGAUUUAUUAGGUUUAAAGGGUGCGUAGGCGGAUUUUUAAGUCAGUGGUGAAAUACCUCAGCUUAACUGAGGAGCUGCCAUUGAUACUGAAGAUCUUGAAUGCAGUUGAGGCAGGCGGAAUGUGUAGUGUAGCGGUGAAAUGCUUAGAUAUUACACAGAACACCAAUUGCGAAGGCAGCUUGCUAAGCUGAAAUUGACGCUGAGGCACGAAAGCGUGGGUAUCAAACAGGAUUAGAUACCCUGGUAGUCCACGCUGUAAACGAUGAUCACUCGCUGUUGGCGAUACACAGUCAGCGGCUAAGCGAAAGCAGUAAGUGAUCCACCUGGGAAGUACGACCGCAAGGUUGAAACUCAAAGGAAUUGACGGGGGCCCGCACAAGCGGAGGAACAUGUGGUUUAAUUCGAUGAUACGCGAGGAACCUUACCUGGGCUUAAAUGAGAUUAGACAGUAGUGGAAACAUUAUCUCUCUUCGGAGCUGAUUUCAAGGUGCUGCAUGGCUGUCGUCAGCUCGUGCCGUGAGGUGUCGGGUUAAGUCCCAUAACGAGCGCAACCCCUAUCAUUAGUUGCCAUCGGGUAGAGCCGGAACUCUAAUGAGACUGCCAGCGUAAGCUGUAGGAAGGUGGGGAUGACGUCAAGUCAGCACGGCCCUUACGCCCAGGGCUACACACGUGUUACAACGGCCGGUACAAAGGGCAGCUACUUGGUGACAAGAUGCUAAUCUCUAAAGCCGGUCUUAGUUCGGAUCGAGGUCUGCAACCCGACUUCGUGAAGCUGGAUUCGCUAGUAAUCGUACAUCAGCAAUGGUACGGUGAAUACGUUCCCGGGCCUUGUACACACCGCCCGUCAAGCCAUGGAAGCUGGGGGUACCUAAAGUUCGCAACCGUAAGGAGCGGCCUAGGGUAAAACCAGUGACUG